AAAAUAAAAAUUAAUAAAAAUAAAUUUAAUAAAAGUAAUUUUAAUAUUAAAAUAAAUAAUGGGGGUUAAAGUAUUUUAAUAGAAAAAAUUAUGAAUUUUAUAGUGAAUUAGUAUAGUAGUAGAAAUUUGAAAUAAAUGAAAAAUAAUUUUUAAAAAAGUAAAUUUAAAUUAUUGUAUCUCGUGUAUCAGAGUUUAUUAAAUAAUGUUUUUAUAUAAAAAUAUCUCGAAUUUAAAAGAGUUAAUUAAUUAAUAAAGUUAAUGUAAAAUAAUUAUUUUAAAUAAUUAAUUUGAAAUGAAAUGUUAAUCGUUUUUAAAUAUAUCUAGUUAUUUUAGAAAAAAAUUUAAUUUUAAAUUUAUUUAUUCAUUAUAUUAAUUAAAUUAAUAUAAUAAAAAAUAAAUUUUAUAAUUUAAGGGAUAAGCUUUAAAUUAAAUUAUUAUAAUAAAUAAUUAAAAUAAAUAAAAUUUUUAAGAUUUAUAUUGUUUAAAAAUUAAAGUUUAUUAUAAAAAAUUUUAUUAAAAAUAAAAUUUAAAUUAAUUUAAUUUUUUAUAAAAAUAUAAUUUUUAAUAUAAAAAGAUUAGUAAUAAUGAUAAAAUUAGUAUAAUAAAAUAAAAAAAAAAUAAAUUUAUUUAAAAUUAAAUAAAAGGAAUUCGGCAAAAUUUAUAUUCACCUGUUUAACAAAAACAUGUCUUUUUGAAAAAUAAUCUAAAGUCUAAUCUGCCCACUGAUUUUAUAUUAAAGGGCUGCAGUAUAUUGACUGUACAAAGGUAGCAUAAUCAUUAGUCUUUUAAUUGAAGACUUGUAUGAAGGAUUUGAUGAAAUAUGAACUGUCUCUUAUUUAUAAAUAGAAUUUAAUUUUUUAGUUAAAAAGCUAAAAUGUAAUUAAAAGACGAGAAGACCCUAUAGAGUUUUAUAAUUAUUUAUUUAAAAUAUUUAUAUAAAAUUUUAAUAUUUUAUUUGAAUAAUUAUUAUAUUGGGGUGAUAAAAAAAUUAAUUAAACUUUUUUUAAAAUUUAACAAAAAUAAAUGAAUAAAUGAUCCAUAAAUAAUGAUUAAAAGAAAAAAUUACCUUAGGGAUAACAGCGUAAUAUUUUUUUUUAGUACAAAUAAAAAAAAAAGUUUGCGACCUCGAUGUUGGAUUAAGAUAAAAUUUAAAUGCAAAAGUUUAAAAUUUUGAUCUGUUCGAUCAUUAAAAUCUUACAUGAUCUGAGUUCAAACCGGUGUAAGCCAGGUUGGUUUCUAUCUUUAAUAAGAUAGGAUAUUUUA
rnacentral:rRNA from 1 species